CUUAUCUGUGUGGGUGUUUGUCUGACACAUGAACAAGACUUUGAGAGAGGUGCAAAAACAAAUCCUCUUUUGCAACUCAGAAUUCAUUGUUCUGUAUGAAUUCUAAUACAGAUGAAAGAAACAUG